rnacentral:lncRNA from 1 species
CUCGAGACUCGAGCCCCGGGCUACCUUGCCAGCAGAGUCUUGCCCAACACCCGCAAGGGCCCACACGGGACUCCCCACGGGACCCUAAGACCUCUGGUGAGUGGACCACAGUGCCUGCCCCAAUCCAAUCGCGCGGAACUUGAGACUGCUGUACAUAGGGAAGCAGGCUACCCGGGCCUGAUCUGGGGCACAAGUCCCUUCCGCUCGACUCGUGACUCGAGCCCCGGGCUACCUUGCCAGCAGAGUCUUGCCCAACACCCGCAAGGGUCCACACGGGACUCCCCACGGGACCCUAAGACAUCUGAUCACGACCCAGGGUACACGCAAGUGUCCACGAUGCAAAGAACUGCCUUCUAAGGAAGCACAGGCGAAAUGACAAUCUAUGAUCUCAGUGCUCUGCCCACUUCGCACAGUGCUCAGUUCUGGGUCACACACACAGGUGCAUCAUUUUGUAUUAACUGCCAUAAAAAGUGAAAUGCCCAACGCCAUGGUU